rnacentral:tRNA from 1 species
GGGGUUGUGGCUCAGUGGUAGAGUGCCUGCCUAGCAUGUGUGAGGCAUUGGGUUCAAUUCUCAGCACCCCA